rnacentral:rRNA from 1 species
UACAGGGGGGGCAAGCGUUGUUCGGAAUUACUGGGCGUAAAGGGCUCGUAGGUGGCCAACUAAGUCAGACGUGAAAUCCCUCAGCUUAACUGGGGAACUGCGUCUGAUACUGGAUGGCUUGAGUUUGGGAGAGGGAUGCGGAAUUCCAGGUGUAGCGGUGAAAUGCGUAGAUAUCUGGAGGAACACCGGUGGCGAAGGCGGCAUCCUGGACCAACACUGACACUGAGGCACGAAAGCGUGGGGAGCAAACAGG